GACGAACGCUGGCGGCGUGCUUAACACAUGCAAGUCGAACGGAAAGGCUCCAGCUUGCUGGAGUACUCGAGUGGCGAACGGGUGAGUAACACGUGGGUAAUCUGCCCUGCACUCUGGGAUAAGCCUGGGAAACUGGGUCUAAUACUGGAUAUAACCUUUCUCCUUAUGGGGUUUGGUGGAAAGUUUUUCGGUGUAGGAUGAGCCCGCGGCCUAUCAGCUUGUUGGUGGGGUGAUGGCCUACCAAGGCGACGACGGGUAGCCGGCCUGAGAGGGUGAUCGGCCACAUUGGGACUGAGAUACGGCCCAGACUCCUACGGGAGGCAGCAGUGGGGAAUAUUGCACAAUGGGCGGAAGCCUGAUGCAGCGACGCCGCGUGAGGGAUGACGGCCUUCGGGUUGUAAACCUCUUUCAGCAGGGACGAAGCGUAAGUGACGGUACCUGCAGAAGAAGCACCGGCUAACUAUGUG
rnacentral:rRNA from 1 species